UUUUUAGCAUAAGUAUGUCCCAUGCAAUAUUUAGGAUGUGCCAUAAAUAUUGCUUGGGACAUACUUAUGCUAAAA
rfam:Camelus ferus unplaced genomic scaffold scaffold880, whole genome shotgun sequence.